AUAAUGCAAGUCGACGGAAACCUUCGGGUUUUAGUGGCGAACGGGUGAGAUAAAAGGCAUCUUUUAUCUUUUAAAAGACCUAGUAAUAGGUAUGCUUUAGGAGGGGCUUGCGCCAUAUUAGUUAGUUGGUAGGGUAAUGGCCUACCAAGACGAUGAUGUGUAGCUGGACUGAGAGGUUGAACAGCCACAUUGGGACUGAGACACGGCCCAAACUCCUACGGGAGGCAGCAGUAGGGAAUUUUCGGCAAUGGAGGAAACUCUGACCGAGCAACGCCGCGUGAAUGACGAAGUACUUCGGUAUGUAAAAGUUCUUUUAUCAAAGGAAAGAAAAGCAAAAUGGCGAACCAUUUUGUUUGCCGGGUACUUUGAUGAAUAAGCCCCCGGCUAAUUUAUGGGGCCAGCAGCCCGCGGGUAAGACCUUAAGGGGGCAAGUGGUUUUCCGGAAAUAUUGGGGCGGUAAGGGGGGCGGUAGGGGGGCCUAGUAAAGUCAGGGGGGGUAUGGGAACGCUUUACCGGUUGGCCCGGUUUUUGAAACCGGCUAAAAUUG
rnacentral:misc_RNA from 1 species